UCGUUCUUCUCUGUUACGCGGUUUCCCUUUCUAGUGUAUGAAUGUGUGUACCCAGGCUGAGUGGUAACAGAAGUAACUAACAUCUAAGUAUUUAGCACCUCAUUAAAAGUUUUUAUGAUGCUAAGGACAAUGAGGACAAAGAAUGGGCUGAACAUAAAGAUCUGACACGUACUCAAGCGUUUUAUUAGCCGCCAAAAAAAGAAAGGAAGGAAGGAUAAGGUGAGGAAGGUAUUAUGCCUGAGAAAGUGUGCAUAUAAUAAAAUGUCGCCAACAAUGUGUUUAAUCAAAAGGCAUUUUAGUAUCAUAGAAUGCACAAGCUGCUUUUAAGUACGAGUCGCUUAAGGAUUUAGAUUUCAGCAAAUUAAUCUUGCUUUUUAGUCUCAACGAAUACGCAAUUA